UGCAGUCGAACGGUAGCACAGAGGAGCUUGCUCCUUGGGUGACGAGUGGCGGACGGGUGAGUAAUGUCUGGGAAACUGCCCGAUGGAGGGGGAUAACUACUGGAAACGGUAGCUAAUACCGCAUAACGUCGCAAGACCAAAGUGGGGGACCUUCGGGCCUCACACCAUCAGAUGUGCCCAGAUGGGAUUAGCUAGUAUGUGGGGUAAUGGCUCACCUACGCGACGAUCCCUAUCUGGUCUGAGAGGAUGACCAGCCACACUGGAUCUGACACACGGUCCACACUCCUACGGGAGGCAGCAGUGGGGAAUAUUGCACAGUGGGCGCACGCCUGAUGCACCCGUGCCGCGUGUAUGAAGAACGCCUUCGGGUUGUAAAGUACUUUCAGUGGGGAGGAACGCGUUAAUGUUAAUAGCCUUGGCGAUUGACGUUACCCGCAGAAGACGCACCGGCUAACUCCGUGCCAGCAGCCGCGGUAAUACAGAGGGUGCACGCGUUAAUCAGAAUUACUGGGCGUAAAGCGCACGCACGCGGUCUGUCAUGUCAGAUGUGAAAUCCCCGGGCUCAACCUGAGAACUGCUUUCAAAACUGGCACGCUAGACUCUUGUAGAGGGGGGUAGAAUUCCAUGUGUAGCGGUGAUAUGCGUAGAGAUCUGGAAGAAUACCGGU
rnacentral:rRNA from 1 species